CCUUCCUGCCAGGGUGAGAGGCAGGCGACGCCAUAUAGCCUCAGCAGCUGAGUGUGUCGUAAAGCCCCACUGACAGACAGUCCGCCACAGCUGCGAUACACGGCUGUCUUAUUUAGAACGUUAAUUGAAAUAAGACUCCCGGUCUCAACUGAAAGCAGUACUGCUAAGGUGUGACAAUGUCUUGGAUUCGGGAAGGCAAUCACGAUAAAGCAUGGAACGACCCCCCGGUCUUCUCAUACGAUGCUGCGUCUGCAGCUCAGGCCACUCACAAGCGCACAUCCUUAAACAAGAGAGUGGCUUUUCCCUUGUCAAACCCAUCUGGUCAAGUAUCGCCGCUAGCCUCCGGCUCUGGACCGCCUUCAAUGGUGCCAGGCACAGGACCACCAUCGAUGGUGCCAGGCGCGGGACCACCACCAAUGGUGCCAGGCGCGGGACCACCACCGAUGGUGCCAGGUGGGGGACCGCCGCCAAUGAUGCCAGGCGCGGGACCGCCUCCAAUGGUGCCAGGCGCGGGACCAACUCCAAUGGUGCCAGGCGCGGGACCGCCGGCGAUGGGGCCAGGCGCGGGACCGCCGCCAUCGGUGCCAUGCGCGGGACCACCAGCGAUGGUGCCAGGCGCGGGACCACCGGCCCAACUGUCUGAUGAGGCACCGCGCGUGGCGGCGCUGACCACCGACGACCAAACGCCGCGUGUGACGUCAGGGG